UUAAGCGACUAAGCGUACACGGUGGAUGCCCUGGCAGUCAGAGGCGAUGAAGGACGUGCUAAUCUGCGAUAAGCGUCGGUAAGGUGAUAUGAACCGUUAUAACCGGCGAUUUCCGAAUGGGGAAACCCAGUGUGUUUCGACACACUAUCAUUAACUGAAUCCAUAGGUUAAUGAGGCGAACCGGGGGAACUGAAACAUCUAAGUACCCCGAGGAAAAGAAAUCAACCGAGAUUCCCCCAGUAGCGGCGAGCGAACGGGGAGCAGCCCAGAGCCUGAAUCAGUGUGUGUGUUAGUGGAAGCGUCUGGAAAGGCGCGCGAUACAGGGUGACAGCCCCGUACACAAAAAUGCACAUGCUGUGAGCUCGAUGAGUAGGGCGGGACACGUGGUAUCCUGUCUGAAUAUGGGGGGACCAUCCUCCAAGGCUAAAUACUCCUGACUGACCGAUAGUGAACCAGUACCGUGAGGGAAAGGCGAAAAGAACCCCGGCGAGGGGAGUGAAAAAGAACCUGAAACCGUGUACGUACAAGCAGUGGGAGCACGCUUAGGCGUGUGACUGCGUACCUUUUGUAUAAUGGGUCAGCGACUUAUAUUCUGUAGCAAGGUUAACCGAAUAGGGGAGCCGAAGGGAAACCGAGUCUUAACUGGGCGUUAAGUUGCAGGGUAUAGACCCGAAACCCGGUGAUCUAGCCAUGGGCAGGUUGAAGGUUGGGUAACACUAACUGGAGGACCGAACCGACUAAUGUUGAAAAAUUAGCGGAUGACUUGUGGCUGGGGGUGAAAGGCCAAUCAAACCGGGAGAUAGCUGGUUCUCCCCGAAAGCUAUUUAGGUAGCGCCUCGUGAAUUCAUCUCCGGGGGUAGAGCACUGUUUCGCAAGGGGGUCAUCCCGACUUACCAACCCGAUGCAAACUGCGAAUACCGGAGAAUGUUAUCACGGGAGACACACGGCGGGUGCUAACGUCCGUCGUGAAGAGGGAAACAACCCAGACCGCCAGCUAAGGUCCCAAAGUCAUGGUUAAGUGGGAAACGAUGUGGGAAGGCCCAGACAGCCAGGAUGUUGGCUUAGAAGCAGCCAUCAUUUAAAGAAAGCGUAAUAGCUCACUGGUCGAGUCGGCCUGCGCGGAAGAUGUAACGGGGCUAAACCAUGCACCGAAGCUGCGGCAGCGACGCUUAUGCGUUGUUGGGUAGGGGAGCGUUCUGUAAGCCUGCGAAGGUGUGCUGUGAGGCAUGCUGGAGGUAUCAGAAGUGCGAAUGCUGACAUAAGUAACGAUAAAGCGGGUGAAAAGCCCGCUCGCCGGAAGACCAAGGGUUCCUGUCCAACGUUAAUCGGGGCAGGGUGAGUCGACCCCUAAGGCGAGGCCGAAAGGCGUAGUCGAUGGGAAACAGGUUAAUAUUCCUGUACUUGGUGUUACUGCGAAGGGGGGACGGAGAAGGCUAUGUUGGCCGGGCGACGGUUGUCCCGGUUUAAGCGUGUAGGCUGGUUUUCCAGGCAAAUCCGGAAAAUCAAGGCUGAGGCGUGAUGACGAGGCACUACGGUGCUGAAGCAACAAAUGCCCUGCUUCCAGGAAAAGCCUCUAAGCAUCAGGUAACAUCAAAUCGUACCCCAAACCGACACAGGUGGUCAGGUAGAGAAUACCAAGGCGCUUGAGAGAACUCGGGUGAAGGAACUAGGCAAAAUGGUGCCGUAACUUCGGGAGAAGGCACGCUGAUAUGUAGGUGAAGUCCCUCGCGGAUGGAGCUGAAAUCAGUCGAAGAUACCAGCUGGCUGCAACUGUUUAUUAAAAACACAGCACUGUGCAAACACGAAAGUGGACGUAUACGGUGUGACGCCUGCCCGGUGCCGGAAGGUUAAUUGAUGGGGUUAGCGCAAGCGAAGCUCUUGAUCGAAGCCCGGUAAACGGCGGCCGUAACUAUAACGGUCCUAAGGUAGCGAAAUUCCUUGUCGGGUAAGUUCCGACCUGCACGAAUGGCGUAAUGAUGGCCAGGCUGUCUCCACCCGAGACUCAGUGAAAUUGAACUCGCUGUGAAGAUGCAGUGUACCGCGGCAAGACGGAAAACCCCGUGAACCUUUACUAUAGCUUGACACUGAACAUUGAGCCUUGAUGUGUAGGAUAGGUGGGAGGCUUUGAAGUGUGGACGCCAGUCUGCAUGGAGCCGACCUUGAAAUACCACCCUUUAAUGUUUGAUGUUCUAACGUGGACCCGUAAUCCGGGUUGCGGACAGUGUCUGGUGGGUAGUUUGACUGGGGCGGUCUCCUCCUAAAGAGUAACGGAGGAGCACGAAGGUUGGCUAAUCCUGGUCGGACAUCAGGAGGUUAGUGCAAUGGCAUAAGCCAGCUUGACUGCGAGCGUGACGGCGCGAGCAGGUGCGAAAGCAGGUCAUAGUGAUCCGGUGGUUCUGAAUGGAAGGGCCAUCGCUCAACGGAUAAAAGGUACUCCGGGGAUAACAGGCUGAUACCGCCCAAGAGUUCAUAUCGACGGCGGUGUUUGGCACCUCGAUGUCGGCUCAUCACAUCCUGGGCUGAAGUAGGUCCCAAGGGUAUGGCUGUUCGCCAUUUAAAGUGGUACGCGAGCUGGGUUUAGAACGUCGUGAGACAGUUCGGUCCCUAUCUGCCGUGGGCGCUGGAGAACUGAGGGGGGCUGCUCCUAGUACGAGAGGACGGAGUGGACGCAUCACUGGUGUUCGGGUUGUCAUGCCAAUGGCACUGCCCGGUAGCUAAAUGCGGAAGAGAUAAGUGCUGAAAGCAUCUAAGCACGAAACUUGCCCCGAGAUGAGUUCUCCCUGACCCUUUAAGGGUCCUGAAGGAACGUUGAAGACGACGACGUUGAUAGGCCGGGUGUGUAAGCGCAGCGAUGCGUUGAGCUAACCGGUACUAAUGAACCGUGAGGCUUAACCUU
rnacentral:rRNA from 1 species